UUCGUUGGUCUUACUCUUAUCUAAACAAAACGAGAAGAGAUAAUCACUUUCUCUUAUUCUUAUUCUUCUUCUUCUUUCUUUUUCUUUCUCCUCUGUUCGUCUGGUUUCUUCUCGAUCGAUUUUUGAGCGAUGAAAUUGAGCUCUAUUUGAUGGAAUUAAUUGGCGAAGUUGUUUAGGUGAACAAGGAGAUGUAGUUUUUGUGAAUUAUGAAGGAAGUUGGAGCUGUUGUGAUGAAGAUCGAAUAGAAAUUUUUAGGGUUUCUGUAAGAUGGUGAGAAAAAGAUUUGAGGUAACGAUUGAAGAUGGGUUUCAAGAACUUGAGUAGAAGAAGAGAUUGUUAUGUCAAUUUGAAGAUUAAUAUUCAGAGAAGAAUGGUAUUUUGAUAAUUAGGAUUCUUGGAAGUGAUUUCGAGAUCCAAUUAAGGGUGAUUAAGAAGGAAUUAAAUGAGGGGUUUGUUAGUUUAGAAGUCUUUGAUUCAUGUUUUGAGUUUGAAUCAGAGAAGAGAAGAUUGGAAACUGAAUUGUGGUUAUAUUGAGAGUUGAGAUGGUGAUAAAGAUUAGGAGUCUGAAAUCGAGAAAAGAGAAGUAAAAUUAAGAACCAAUUGGUGAUGGUGUCAGUUCAGGUGUUGAUUCAAUUCAAGAACAAUCGAGUAAGGUAAUUAAGGGUUUCUCUUAUUUCAAUAUAUGUUUUCGUAGAAUUGAAGAUGAAAUGAUGAUAUCUAGAUUGGUUUGUGUUUUCAUUGAAGUUUAAUUGACUUUAUGGUGUUUUAGUUCGGUUUGUUUGUGAAAUUGAGAAGUUGUGAUUUUAAUUUGAAUUAAGGCAGUCGAUGUUAGUGAUGGUGAAGUUGAUAUGAAGCUGCAGGUGUUAUGAUGAUGAUGUUGUUAAUGUUGUAGUUGUUGUAGUAUUAUGAAAUGUAGGGAAGGGGUUGGAGGCUUGUUGAUUAAGAAUUCGAACUAGUCUGGUUGUGUGUAUAUGAGAUUGUAGGUUUUAUGAGAUAAUAUAAGUGGAGGAGAAUAUUGUACGUGGUAUUAAUUUGGUGAAGUACAGAGUCUAGAAUUGAGUUUAUGAAUGCAAACUUGGAACUUCCAAGAGUGUUAUUGAUGUUGCUCUGCACUAAAUUGGAUGCUAAUUCAAAAUGUUGUGGUUAUGGUGAUGCUGCACAGUUGGUGGUGUUGGAGUGAGUUAAUUUGAGACAGAUCAUAGGUUGGUUUCAAUUGUGGAGUUUGAAGGUGAGUUUUAGAGAAUGAACUAUAUAGGUGAGAUGCAGAUGAUAGUGGUUUGAGGUUCUGGUGGUGGGUUUGUGCAUAAGAUGAGUAUUGUAGAAGGGUAUCUAGAGAGGAAGUUGCAGAUGGAUACUAAGAAGGUCUUAGUUGUAUUUAGAGAUAUAGUUAGAGUUGGUUUGGUUGUGUAGUUAGCUGAAGUCAAAUGUUUGUAUGAUUGUACUGAAAGAGUGAAGGUUAGAUGAACUUUGGAGUUGAAUCUGUGCAGUGAGAGGCUUGUAGUUGCUGACUAAAGUUUCAGAGACAGAUCAGAGUUGCACGAAAGCGUCGAGGAGUUGAUUUCAUUAGUUGGUUAACUUCGGUUAUGUUUAUUAUGUUUCAUAUUAUAUUUGUUAACCAAAUGACUAUUGUAUGUAUGUAUCAUUUGAGAGAAGUUCUUGUAUUUAUAUAAUUCUGAGCGGGGCUAGUUUUGGGUUAAGUUUUGUAGCAGAUCUCUUAAUUGAAUGCUUAAAUUUAUGAUUUAGUUUCUUAGUGCC